AACGAACGCUGGCGGCAGGCUUAACACAUGCAAGUCGAACGCAUCCUUCGGGGUGAGUGGCAGACGGGUGAGUAACGCGUGGGAACGUGCCCUUCAGUUCGGGAUAACCCAGGGAAGCUUGGGCUAAUACCGGAUACGUGCGAGAGCAGAAAGAUUUAUCGCGGAAGGAUCGGCCCGCGUCUGAUUAGCUAGUUGGUGGGGUAAUGGCCCACCAAGGCGACGAUCAGUAGCUGGUCUGAGAGGAUGAUCAGCCACAUUGGGACUGAGACACGGCCCAAACCCCUACGGGAGGCAGCAGUGGGGAAUAUUGGACAAUGGGCGCAAGCCUGAUCCAGCCAUGCCGCGUGAGGGAUGACGGCCUUCGGGUUGUAAACCUCUUUUAGUAGGGAAGAAGCGAAAGUGACGGUACCUGCAGAAAAAGCACCGGCUAACUACGUGCCAGCAGCCGCGGUAA
rnacentral:rRNA from 1 species